UACGAAGGUCCCAAGCGUUAUCCGGAUUUAUUGGGUUUAAAGGGUGCGUAGGCGGGCUAUUAAGUCAGUGGUGAAAGCCCCAAGCUUAACUUGGGAACUGCCAUUGAUACUGAUGGUCUUGAGUACAUUUGAGGUGGGCGGAAUGUGUCAUGUAGCGGUGAAAUGCUUAGAUAUGACACAGAACACCAGUGGCGAAGGCGGCUCACUGGCCCGGUACUGACGCUGAGGUGCGAAAGCGUGGGGAGCAAACAGG
rnacentral:rRNA from 1 species